UACGAAGGGGGCUAGCGUUGCUCGGAAUCACUGGGCGUAAAGGGUGCGUAGGCGGGUCUUAAGUCAGGGGUGAAAUCCUGGAGCUCAACUCCAGAACUGCCUUUGAUACUGAGGAUCUUGAGUUCGGGAGAGGUGAGUGGAACUGCGAGUGUAGAGGUGAAAUUCGUAGAUAUUCGCAAGAACACCAGUGGCGAAGGCGGCUCACUGGCCCGAUACUGACGCUGAGGCACGAAAGCGUGGGGAGCAAACAGGGA
rnacentral:rRNA from 1 species